GGACCAGGCCACCUGCUUCUCCCUCCCUCCCUCCCUCCCGGGAGGAAAUCUUCAGGGCCCCAGUGGUUUUGAAAGGAGGGGGGACAGGAAGAGACUCUGAACACUCUGGGUCAGCCAAGGACAGGGCAGAACUCUGCCUUAAUUCUUCUAGGAUGCUCUUCCUUUGCCCCCUUGCCCCCCAAAACCCCAAAGCAAACUGCUUUCUCUGCAACUAACAGUCACAAGCCACUCUUGAGACCUCCAGAGGCGGUCCAGAGUGGGUGGUGCUUGGUGGGACCACGGGGCCUGCAGCCAGCAUCUCCGUGAUCCUCCGCACGUAUGGACGCGGUGAGGAUACUCCCGUCCCAGGUGGGUUGAGCCGGCGGUGCUCCGGCCCGGAGGGCCCCGAGAUGGCUUCCUGCAGGGGCAAGGAGUCCGUGUACCCGACCGUGUGGAGGUCCCGGAGCGCCGCGCCCGCCCUCCCUCCCUGCGCGGAGCCCGCCGCUGCUGACCGCAGGCUGCAGGAGCGGUUGAUCUGGGGAGCGGGCGAACACACCCACUUACCCAGCUGCUGAGUCAGGCUGUUCUCGCUCGCGCCCGCCCGCCCGCUCUCGCCCGGGACAUUGUGUUCCAGCCCCAGCGCUCUGGCAGCGGGCCCAGGCGCUCACACCAGCCUCCUCGCCCUGUUUGUGCUCGCGGCUUGCGCGCUAUGGCGCAGCCUCCCGUGGCCGCGGGGACUCUGAGAACGCACCCGUGGAGGGUGGGCCCCAGCAGCCCUGAACACUCGCCGGCCUCGGAGCACGCGCGCCUCUCCAGACGCAUCUGCCCUCCCUGGCUGGGUGCAUCCCCCUACCCCCGAGUGGAUGGAGAAUGAGAACAGCUGGGGGGCUGGGGCAGGUGUUGCGAGCCCCCCCCCCCGCUCCCGCCGCCCAAAACACACACUUCCCACCCUCCACACUGACGCUCAGUCCCAGUGACAGCGGGAGGAUAGUUGGAAGCAAGCCAGACCCAGACUUGGGAGACCGGGAAUGUGGUCACGUGACGACAGAAGCCCGCUUUGAGGGGAUCAAUUCAAGGAUCCCUAGGAGGAACCUCCCUCUUUCUCACCCCUCACCCUUGAUCCGUCACAGACUUCGGUAGCACGGAGACUCAACCCUGAUUCCCGGAGCCCUCAACCAAGCCCGGCCUUUUUGGAAAGCUUGGGAAGCCCCUGGCAGGAUGCUGAGAGGAGGGAGAGCCGAGUGGGAGUGGUGGAGCAAGGGCAGGGUGGCGUAAGAGGACCCCAAAGCCUCUGCCUAUUGUUCAGUCCCAAACACUGGUGUGUUACUGAGAACCAUCAUUUGUCUCAGCCGAUCCUGAAAAGACACCACCUCCAAAGAGGGGACUGUGUGCUGAGCCUGAGCGCCUUAGACAUGGACCGCUCUGGGGUGGUCCCGCUAAGGAGGUCAUGAAACACAGGGCACUGACACCAGAUCAAAAAAUGAUUCCACCGGCUUGCUGCCUGCUGCCUGCUGCCUGCAGCCUGCAGAUUGGGAGGUGAAGCUCUGCCUACUGCUCCAGCGCCAUGCCUGCCUGCUUCCUGCCACGGUCAGGAGUGAGUCUCUGAAACCGGUCUCUAGCUCUGACUGGCUUUAACCGGACUGAACAGCCAAGGAUGACCUCACACCUCUAAUCCCCAACUCCGCUCCUCAAGUGCCGGGAUUACAUAUGAGUGCUACCACAUCCUAUUUGGUCAGUGCUGUGGAUGAGACUUGGGGCUCUGUGCACGGUAGAUGGGCGUUCUCCAAAUGACCCACACCAUCACAGCCUAUGGAGUGGAUGAAGUCCCGAGUGACUGUGUAUUAACGACAUGAGCAUAUCCACAGAGAGGACCCCAGUGCCUCAGACCCAUGGGAACGGCAGCCUUCCCCUGCUUAAAAGUCCAGAUGUUGACAGUUGUGCAGAAAGUGUCAACCACAGGCUUCUCCUCCCACUGCCUGCUCCCCAAGACUGCUCCUCUACGGAGAGCCCUACUGAGAUUGGCUGGCACACAUCCUGUUGAGCUGUGUACAGUGAGUGAGCCCACCUCCUCAAUGAGCUGUGUACAGUGAGUGAGCCCACCCCUCAAUGAGCUGUGUACAGUGAGUG